GAGUUUGAUCGUGGCUCAGAUUGAACGCUGGCGGCAUGCCUUACACAUGCAAGUCGAACGGUAACAGGUCUUCGGAUGCUGACGAGUGGCGAACGGGUGAGUAAUACAUCGGAACGUGCCCGAUCGUGGGGGGAUAACGAAGCGAAAGCUUUGCUAAUACCGCAUACGAUCUACGGAUGAAAGCAGGGGACCGCAAGGCCUUGCGCGAACGGAGCGGCCGAUGGCAGAUUAGGUAGUUGGUGGGAUAAAAGCUUACCAAGCCGACGAUCUGUAGCUGGUCUGAGAGGACGACCAGCCACACUGGGACUGAGACACGACCCAGACUCCUACGGGAGGCAGCAGUGGGGAAUUUUGGACAAUGGGCGAAAGCCUGAUCCAGCCAUGCCGCGUGCAGGAUGAAGGCCUCGGUUGUAACU
rnacentral:rRNA from 1 species